rnacentral:rRNA from 1 species
UACGUAGGGGGCAAGCGUUGUCCGGAAUCACUGGGCGUAAAGGGUGCGUAGGCGGGGUUUUAAGUCAGGGGUGAAAUCCUGGAGCUCAACUCCAGAACUGCCUUUGAUACUGAAGAUCUUGAGUCCGGGAGAGGUGAGUGGAACUGCGAGUGUAGAGGUGAAAUUCGUAGAUAUUCGCAAGAACACCAGUGGCGAAGGCGGCUCACUGGCCCGGUACUGACGCUGAGGCACGAAAGCGUGGGGAGCAAACAGG